rnacentral:rRNA from 1 species
CAGCCGCCACGGUAAUACGUAGGUGGCAAGCGUUGUCCGGAAUUAUUGGGCGUAAAGGGCUCGCAGGCGGUUUCUUAAGUCUGAUGUGAAAGCCCCCGGCUCAACCGGGGAGGGUCAUUGGAAACUGGGAAACUUGAGUGCAGAGGAGGAGAGUGGAAUUCCACGUGUAGCGGUGAAAUGCGUAGAGAUGUGGAGGAACACCAGUGGCGAAGGCGACUCUCUGGUCUGUAACUGACGCUGAGGAGCGAAAGCGUGGGGAGCGAACAGGAUUAGAUACCCCCGUAGUCCCUGUCUCUUAUAC